ensembl:lncRNA TNR-IT1 TNR intronic transcript 1
GGCAAAGAUCAUGGGGACCAUUUCUGAGUUUGUCUAUCCAAGGAAGGGGACUGUGCUGAGGACACCGGAGUAUUAGUGCCUCCCUGGGUACCAUGAGAGGGGGCAACAGAGGAGUCAGACACACAUGCACAAAUACAGAAAAGCACAGCUGAGACUGAGAAGGAGCAAGAGGAGGAGAGUCAGGGAGGCUGAGAGGCUAAACAACCAAGAAAGCAGAGUUCAGAGAAGUUGACUGCACUGUGAAAAGCUGAGUGUGAUUUUAUUUGGGAGCAUGCCUCUGGUGUUUUUCAAGGCUAUAUUUUCAUAUUCAUCAGGCCCUCACCGACUGGGGAGACCAGAAUGAAAAAGUCAUUAUGUGUGUCUUCAAGGAUCUCACAAUAUCAGUUCAAACAUAAAUGUAAGAGGGUGAAAGUGUUGAAAGCAUGGUUUUCUCUUCCCCCAUGAGGAUGGCCUUGUCCUGAAAAUCCACCACUUGGGAAUUGGCCAGCUCUGACUAGGUUGAGAUCUCAGGGUCUGAGGAGGCUGUCAAGCCUCUGCCUCAAGUUCUUGAGCAUAAUCCCAACAUCUGGGACAUUAGCAACCUUCCUGUAUGCCAAGAAAGUAGCUGGAUUAGCCAGAGUCUGUCUUGAC